rnacentral:rRNA from 1 species
UACGUAGGGUGCGAGCGUUAAUCGGAAUUACUGGGCGUAAAGUGUGCGCAGGCGGCCGCGCAAGUCGAGUGUGAAAUCCCCGAGCUUAACUUGGGAAUUGCGCUCGAAACUACGUGGCUGGAGUGUGGCAGAGGAAGGUGGAAUUCCACGUGUAGCGGUGAAAUGCGUAGAUAUCAGGAGGAAUACCGAUGGCGAAGGCAGGUCUCUGGGCUGACACUGACGCUCAUGCACGAAAGCGUGGGGAGCAAACAGG